UGUAAGCGUAUACCAAAGUUGUUGCAGUUAAAACGCUCGUAGUCGGAAUUUGGCAGUUCCGGAUGUGUGCACGUCGUGUGCGCACUUCGCGGGGAUUGCUUUUGUGGUCUUGCGUAGGAUGAGGCACUUUUAUUAGUGAACGUCCUCACGCAACCACUUUUUACUGUGAGAAAAUCAGAGUGCUCAAAGCAGGCAUUUGCCGUGAAUGUAUUAGCAUGGAAUAAUAGAAUAGGACUUGGUUCUAUUUUGUUGGUUUGUUGGGACUGAGUAAUGAUUAAGAGGGACAGUUGGGGGCAUUUGUAUUUCGGUGCUAGAGGUGAAAUUCUUAGAUUACCGAAAGACAAACCGCUGCGAAAGCGUCUGCCAAGGAUGUUUUCAUUGA
rnacentral:rRNA from 1 species